CCCUUAGAUGUCCGGGGCUGCACGCGCGCUACACUGAAGGAAUCAGCGUGCUAAAACCAUUGUCGAAAGGCAUUGGUAAACCCAUUAAAAUCCUACGUGAUUGGGAUCGGGAAUUGCAAUUAUUUCCCUUGAACGAGGAAUUCCCAGUAAGUGUGGGUCAUAAGCUCGCGUUGAUUACGUCCCUGCCCUUUGUACACACCGCCCGUCGCUGCCCGGGACUGAGCCGUUUCGAGAAAAGCGGGGGCUGCUGCUGUCGGGGCUUUCGGGCCUUGGCUUCGGUGGAAACCGCUUUAAUCGCAGUGGCUUGAACCGGGCAAAANUCGUAACA
rnacentral:rRNA from 1 species